UACGUAGGGGGCAAGCGUUGUCCGGAAUCAUUGGGCGUAAAGCGCGUGUAGGCGGUCCGAUAAGUCGGUUGUGAAAGUCAAGGGCUCAACCCUUGAAUGCCGACCGAUACUGUCGGGCUAGAGUCCGGAAGAGGCGAGUGGAAUUCCUGGUGUAGCGGUGAAAUGCGCAGAUAUCAGGAGGAACACCGGUGGCGAAGGCGGGUCUCUGGGCCGAUACUGACGCUGAGGAGCGAAAGCGUGGGGAGCGAACAGG
rnacentral:rRNA from 1 species